CUGGCUCAGGAUGAACGCUAGCUACAGGCUUAACACAUGCAAGUCGAGGGGCAUCAGGAUGUAGCAAUACAUUGCUGGCGACCGGCGCACGGGUGAGUAACACGUAUCCAACCUGCCUUUUACUCGGGGAUAGGCUUUCGAAAGAAAGAUUAAUACCGGAUAGUAUCGAGAGAUUGCAUGAUUACCCGAUUAAAGAUUCAUCGGUAACGGAUGGGGAUGCGUUCCAUUAGGCAGUUGGCGGGG
rnacentral:rRNA from 1 species